rnacentral:rRNA from 1 species
CAGCAGCCACGGGAAUACAGAGGGUGCGAGCGUUAAUCGGAUUUACUGGGCGUAAAGCGUGCGUAGGCGGCUUCUUAAGUCUGAUGUGAAAUCCCUGAGCUUAACUUAGGAAUUGCAUUCGAUACUGGGAAGCUAGAGUAUGGGAGAGGAUGGUAGAAUUCCAGGUGUAGCGGUGAAAUGCGUAGAGAUCUGGAGGAAUACCGAUGGCGAAGGCAGCCAUCUGGCCUAAUACUGACGCUGAGGUACGAAAGCAUGGGGAGCAAACAGGAUUAGAUACCCCCGAGUCCCUGUCUCUUAUACA